AAAGUACAGAGUUAUGUGGAGAAAACAAUAGGCUACAUCAAGUGCAGAUUAAGUAAGCAUUACAAUGCCGUUGCAUAG